UUGACGUUUAUUACAAGUUUUUUGUCGUAAGUCGUAACACGCGUGCAUUUAGUUUCAAUUAUUUCAUUUAAAAUGCCAAAAGUUUAUCGGUGAGUCGAUUGCGUGCAAGUUUAGCCUAGGAAAAUGAUUUUAAUCACUUUUAUUUAAAUUAAAUUAAUUUAAUCAAAUAUUAUUUAAAAUUUAUACUAAAUUUAUUAAAAACAAAAACAAUUUAACUGCAUUUUUUUUGUGCAUUAUUUAGAAUUUUCAGAGCAUUAUAACAUUUUUUAAGGGGUAUUUUUAGGGUUUUAUAGGGCAUUAUAUCCCCAGCCCUAUUCAUAAGUUUCUAUCGAAAUUUGAUAAGUUUAAAAAAGCGGCGCGUGUGUAACUUUGGACACCAUUGAUUUACUGUGUAUAAUAAUAGUGACCCACUUGUAAUUUACUGUACAGCAGAGUGACACCCACUUUCCCACGUUUUUUUCUGUUUCAAUUUCGAAUUCUGGAGCUAAUGUCACUGAUUCGAUUUGUUCCUACAUUGUAGGGCGCACUGCUUACACCACCAGUCACGAACUACAAGCACACUGCACACAUUACAGAUCAAUAGAACACUAUACACUGCUGCUGUAUAUAGGUACUGAGUACACUGCCUUAGUGCUACAUUAAUCCAAGUUGAUGCAUUGUUUUAUGCUUGUGGAUUGUGUGAAUACGUUUUAGUGGACAGACCAACAGAGUUCAACAUUUCUCUGAACACCUUCAUCAUCAACGCUCUACAGUAUAUUAUCGAAGUACACCGCUACACCUUUAAAAACUAUGGCAUCCUGGUUAUUUGGAGUUUCUAAACAAUCGGCUGAUCAGAUUGUUGAUACAAAAGACACACCAUCUGUUUCAACAGCGGUUAAUCCAGAACCUGUGAAUACCUCACCCACGAUGCCUCAAUUACUUUAUGAUUU
rnacentral:misc_RNA from 1 species